rnacentral:rRNA from 1 species
AACGAACGCUGGCGGCGUGCCUAACACAUGCAAGUCGAGCGCGAAUGGAGCAAUCCUAGUAGAGCGGCGCACGGGUGCGUAACACGUGGGUAAUCUGCCCAGAAGCCCGGGACAACCUGCCGAAAGGCUGGCUAAUACCGGAUAAGCCUCCGAGGUCUUCGGACCUUGAAGGAAAGGUGGCCUCUGUACACAAGCUAUCGCUUCUAGAUGAGCCCGCGGCCCAUCAGCUCGUUGGCGGGGUAAUGGCUCACCAAGGCAACGAUCGGUAGCCGGCCUGAGAGGGCGGACGGCCACACUGGGACUGAGACACGGCCCAGACUCCUACGGGAGGCAGCAGUGGGGAAUUGUUCGCAAUGGGCGCAAGCCUGACGACGCAACGCCGCGUGGAGGAUGAAGACC